GUCUCUCACUCUCUAGUCUCUACCCCAACAGCUGUACGCCUGCUGUAGCACGAAGAGAAUUAGUGAGAGAGAGAUAGAGUGAGAGAGAGGUGAAAUUCAGGAAAGAUAUAGAAUUCAUCUCAUCAUCUCAGCACGAUCUCAUCAUCUCAGAUCGGAGAGGCACACAGAGAAAGAAGGGUAUUGUUCGGUUUUGCUGUGAGGAGGAAGAGGACCUGCGUUUUGGAUAACUCUGCGUUUUGAGCCAAGGAAAAGAUGAGGGAUUUGGGUAUAGGGUUGUGAUCGAUACUUUGUUUUUGGGGCUAUGGUUCUUGCAUCAGUGAGAACUUGGUGAGCUUUCAGCUAAGGUUUGUAAAAGUCCAAGCACUAAGAUACAGAAGACAACAGGAAAAUCAAUCUUUGUUUGUUUUGGAAAAGGAUCUGUUCUGUGUCUUGGACUGUUUGGUUUUGGUGAAAGCAGGUUUGGGAUAAGCAAAUUAUAAUUUGAAAACAGUUGGGACUUGAAAGUUGCAUAUAUUGCAGAAGUUGGGAAGACCAGGUUUUUUAAACUCCUAGAGGCAGUUGUUUGGGAGUUUAAGGAUUUUGCUAACCAACUACAACAUCUUCCGCAGCUGCAACUGAAACAAUCACCUUUUGAACAACCGGAGCACUUACUAUUUUGAACAACCUCCAACAGUAACUUUUGCUAGAUUAACUUAUAACCUUUUUGUUGAGCUAGCAUUUUUGGACCAGCUCCAGUUUAAUGGACUUCAACUAAAAGGAAAUAUAACAAGAUGGAGAAGUAAGCAAGGGCGAGACUGAGAUCGACAAGUGUACGUAGAUUUGGUGAGAUUGGAGAGAGACUAGCUGAAAGAAAUGGGUGAGGAUGGAUCUAUUAAUAGAUCGUGAUGACUUUAGCAGGAGGAGACUCUGGUCUUUAGACUUUACCAGUCAUUCAAUGCAAUCCAAGUCAGCUGGGGCCCACGCGUUUGUUUUGUUGUUGCUCGAACCCAUGUUAGUCGCUCACAUUAGAUGUAGGGUGAGACUAUUGUCACCCUAUAAUUUUCUUUGUUCACCCUACUUG